CAAAAUUUGUCGUUCCGUCUAAUGGGUCAAUGCACCAAAGGUAAUCAGAUGAUGUGUCCCCAAUAAGGCCACCUUCCUCCCCAAGGAUAAGAUGAUCUUUGAAGUUUUUUCUCACAACAUCUAGAAUGACAGACUCACUCAAUUUAUCUGUGUCUGUUACCAAAUCUGUGGCUCCUUUGUAAACAAUAUUACGAGGCUUGUUAACAGCUUCCAUCACAACCUCAGCGCCAGCCUUGGCAGCGGCCUCAACGACUCGGAGGAGCUCGGCCGCGGGGAUUGGCCCGGUUGACGCGGCGGCGAUCUUUGAGUACCGCUUCUCGUUGGGGAGCUCGGAGAGGACGGCUCUGGUUUGGAGCCGCGAUGCGGGCUUGGACAUGAGGGGCAGCUGGAGAGGGAGAACGCCACGGUUG
rnacentral:misc_RNA from 1 species